CAAAAAAAAAAGAACAAAUAGCCUUGUGUAAUGGGAAUAAACACCACGGCUGGAACAAAUCUUUGACUAAUCAAGUUUCUUGGAUGAAAACCAUGAUAUAAAAAUAUGGCAAUGACAGAUGCCUUCUGUUUUUCUGUGCCAAUAUUUACAUGUCAUGAAAGCUGACUGACAUGUUGCCAGGCCAGGUGAAUGUUUUUAUAAAGCUGCAUAUAUUUCCUUCAUACUGUGCCCUGACAGGAGGUGAUGGGGGAGAAAAGAAAAAGAAAAAAAAAGGAGACUGAGAGAGAAAGCAGGAGUACAGUGGAUAACUAUGACUGGCCCAUUAACAGGGCUGGUUGUCAGUGUCAGCGGGCUCAGCUGCGGACAGUGGGCAACAGUUGCAGAGGAACAUUGUUAAAAAGGAGCAGCACUGUCAGAUCUGGACAUUCUCCUAAAGUGUACAUGGCUGAGGUCACAGGGCGCAUGGUUAACACUAGCAGAAGAGAAUAACAAGUCCGGUGCUUUGUACAGAUUGACUCUGAAGACUGUCCCUAUGUGAAUAUCAAACCUCUACCAUGACAAAUAGGCAAAGAGGGCGAGGGAUGAAGGGCCAGGCGAGAGUUGCGAAAAGAGGCAAAGCACGAGUGAAUUGAUGGAAAGAGGUUGCGAGGAGGGUGGGUGAGAGAGCAAGAGGAUGUGAGGCAGAUGGAGCGAGGUGACAGUGCAGGGAGAGAGAAAGAAAGAGACAGAAAAGGGGAAGGUUUGUGUUUAAUUAGCGGCCCUGGAGAGUGUCUUGGUUGAGCCAAGGAGGAACAUGGGAUGUUCUCUAAUUGGCCCUGCUCUGUGGAGAGGGAGGGAAGGAGGGAGGAAAAGCUAGAUAGAGAGAAGACAGACACAAGAGGGAGGAGGAGAAAAGGAGGAAUGACUGGACUUUUGUCUGGUUGGCUGCAUGUUUAUUUGGGGAAAGUGUUCUGCAGAGGGUCAAGGAGAAACUUGGUUGCCAUGACACGCAACAAAGAGGAGAGGAGAGAAAGCUCAGAGGAUAUGAAUAAGGGAGCAGGAGAGAUGGAUGAGGGGAGUGGGGAGAGGCAGGAGAGAGACAGAGAUGGAUGGAGUGAGGAGUCUAGCUGUACAGGGGCAGAACUACGGAGAGAGACAAUUCACAGAUGCACAGAGGAGAUCUGGGAGAGGCUUUGGAAAAAUGACAAGUCAAGAAGUCGGGGAAGGAGGGAUAAUGAGCAAAGACAGAGAGGAAGGAGUGCGUGUUUGUGUGGGAAAGGGAGACUGAGGCCAAGAGGGAGACUUGGAAAGAAAAGGGAAGUUUAUUAGAGAGAAUUCGGAGAGAGGAGUAAGAGAGAAAUGCAAAAAUAUGGUUGAUUCGGGAAAAGCAGUGACAAUAACUGAGACAGAGAGGAAAAGAGAAACAAACUGAGACUCUACAGGGAGAAGGGAGGGUCCAGAAACAAAUCAGGCCAGCUCAGCACGUUCUUCUUCAUCCAACCCAUUUAGGAUGGUGGCAUUAUUCUAACCAUAGCCUCAAUCGAUACUUGUGACAGCAUAUUGGUGAUCAAUCAAAGUGUCAGGACAGAAUUGAUCAUGCUCAGUCAAAUGUGACAUAAACAAGGCCUUGCGAUCGAUACGAUGUUAGUGUAUUCAGUCCAAGACAAACACUCUGUAUCUCAAUUAACUGCUCAUUUCGCAACUGUAUACUUUGAUAAAGAGAGUCAUUUAUGCACACCUGAAUGUCUUGAAGCACCCACCGGCCAAAAAGAUUCAAUAAGUAUAUCGUAAACUUGUAUUGUUAACAAAAUUGCAUUUUAUAUAUACGUUUAUACCCCAAGAAGAAUGCAAAUUGAUCUAUCGCUUGUUUUCUUUUUGUUUUUCCUGUCAGGUGUACAGGGGGGAAAAGAGAAAAUUACCACAAAUGAGUACAAAGAAACAUAUACACCAGAAGCAUUAAAGUUUAAGUGAGCACCUUAUUGAGGAGACAAUCAACAGAGAAAAAAGGAUCUAGGGAGUUUUUUUUUCCCCCUGCAAAGUUAAUAACACAGCACAUCACAGCAAAACAAUCAGAUAGUGAAGAGCCACAAGAGGUGCCUUAAUUAUAGGUAAGAGCUAAUUAUGCUAGAUUGAAGUUAUGCUUGCUGCACAGAUGUCACCAUAUAAUGAGAUAGAGUGGAGUGAGGGUCAGGAAGAGGUGCAUAAGGCAAUGGACCACACAUCUUGAUGCAGAGGUCACACCAGAUCCAAACGCAGAUUUAAAAUCUUCAUUAAAGCUCUGAUAAUUGUGCAGUCCAUUGGAUGUAAAUGAGGCUUGAAGAUCGAUAACCCAACGCUGGGUUCAGUCUAAUGGAGAAAAGAGUGACGGUGAUACAUGGUUAUAACUACGCUGCUUCGCAUUACGGAUAACCCUUGCUAACCCUGUGUACCUGCUACACCUGCAAUUAAAUGAUAAUGCCUAUGGGAGAGAGAGUGAGAGAGAGUCUCGCCGCUCAAAGCACAGAUGCUUCUAUCAUAACUAAAUGAUACUCUGUCUGACCUCGGGUGUAGCUAGCCACGGCGCAUUGGGAGCUUUCGGAGCUGUAAUGCACCAUUAUGAUAUCGAACGGUCGAUAGCUUCCCCCCAAACUCCUACCCCUACCCCCACACAAACCCCCUCUGCUCCUUCUCCUUCCAAUCUAUUCAGUGCUGAUGCAUCGAAUAGGAGAGUCCAGGAAGGAGUUGAAACCCCUGAGGAGAAAGCAGAAUGGCUAAAUUGACCAGAUUACUGAGACUAAUUGGUCCAAUCCUGAGGAACUGGCUCAUUAAGGUGUGUGAGGAGAUAACGAAGCAUGCUACAGAGGGCAGGAGAAAUAUGUGAAUAAACAUAUGCAAACACCAUGCAAAGUACACAACGAGAGUAUGCAUGUAUGCACAAAUAUACACAUUCAAUAUGCACACGCAUAUUUGUACAGAUAAUGUUCAUCUCGAUGCACACACUCACACUCAUAGAGGGUUUACUGGAAAAUGAUAAGCUCCCUGAUUAACUCCCAAUUUACAGCUUGGCACAGCUUGUAUUAAAGCUGCUCAAAUUAAUGUCUUUAUAUUAACAAUGGAUGAAAUGACUAUGUGCACUGUAAAAGGGAGUCACGUGUAGUGAUGAACCCAACUUCGGUUCACCUCAGUUCUGCAGAGAUUUUUAGUGUCUCUCAGCUCAUUGUUUUGUUUUUAUGUCUACCGUUUCGGUUCACUCCCACCACUCUUAUCAGUGUAAUUCCCAGACACAGCAGGCAGCUGUUUAUUUGUGAGAAAGCUCUGAUAAACCUGCUAAACCUCCUGCCCAGCACUAAACAGCAGACAGAAGUUAGUGACUAGCUGAUGAACAUAGUGGAGCAUUUAGCAGCUAAAGAGUCUGAUAUUUUAAUCAAGAGUCAGUGGAGAGCAAAACCAGGGCUAAAGGAGAAUAUAUUUGUUAGGUGGCCAGAAGCGCAACUCCAAAUUAAUGCUAUAGUCACUCCAUAUCUCCUCAUCUGGGCAACUGUUUGCUAGAUAGAUUGUUCACCAUACCAACUUUAUAAGUGACUUUGUCAAUGUUGUGUUUACAGCUUUAUGUGCUGCCCCCCCGAGUGGCAAAUAUAUAGUAGGUUUAACGAGAUCUUUUUUAAAGUUUCACCCAAACUACAAAAACACAUUUUCCCACUUCCUGCUAACUGAGAUUUCUGCCUCCACUCCAACUAUAACUAUUUUUUUGCUAAUGAAACGGUCCGUUAAUUUAAAACUUUUAAGUAUCAAAAACUUUAGAGACUUUUAAAUGCUGUCAGCACCAAAACCUAGGAAAAACUAUUUGCAUGGCUACAGUAGAUACCCCCGGCAAGUGGUUAGUUUUUUUCAUAAUUUAGGUGAACUGACAACAAUCGGCUGUUCUGAAGGUUGACAGACACAGACAAUAGAUAAUUAAUUGGAUAGAUGUUUGGGGGGAGCAAAAUGCCAAAAGAAGGAAAGAGGUGUGUGUUUCCUCGUGCUGAAGGCCUCCAUCGCUUCAUCGCCCCUUCACUCCACAGGCCAUCCCUCCAUCACAGAGUGAGAGAGGGGAACGGACAGCGUUGCCUGAAGCCAACAGAGCAGUAGAGCGAGCACAGGAGAGAAAGUGAGAAAGCGAAAGCAAAGGCGGUGGGGGUAGAGGAAGGCAGAGCCAGGUGUGGAAGAGAGGAAUACAGACAUAGAGCAAGAGAGAGACACAAAUGCUACCCAGAGAAGUUGUCCUCCCCUCUGGUUAUCCUCCAUCACCCUGCCUGUGUUUUCUCCAUCCCUGUGACUUCCUUCAUGGCCCUUUGGCUCCGUGACCCCCGUGUCGGCUGCCAUUUCUCAGCCCGACCCUGUCACUCUCCUCCCGGCUCACAUGCAACCCACAUUGGAGGGUCGAGUGUCGUCAGCGGAGCUUGAACCUCACACCAUUGUUGUAAGACAGAGCAGAUCCUGUGACGGACUAAAUGUGACAGUUGAGCUGCUGACCUUUGGUCCGGAGACAACAGACAGAAACCGGCAGCCGGAGCAGCAUCACCCAUGCACACAUGACACACAAGACAAGACACACACUCACUCAUUCAGUUGUAUUGUGUGUAAAUGUGUGUACAAUUAUGUCAUGCGGUCGAUUGAAUUGUAGUAAUCCCAUAUGUUUUUGUUAUAGAUGUGUACAAGGCAUAUAUGCAUAUGAUAUAUGUAAAAAUAUUUCAAAUUAAAAAGAUGUUGAGGUCUC